rnacentral:tRNA from 1 species
AGCCCCGAAGUAGUUGUAAUACAUUGGAUUGCAAAUCCAAAGACGGAGGUUCUUUCCCUCCCGGGGCUU